ACUACCGGUUUGCAAGAACUGGACAGAACCGGGAGCAAGCCACCACUGAUUUAGGGAAAUGUUGGCCAGGAAUUCUAAAAAUGGGAUGGGGCAUGAACUGGAAGAACAAUUUUAAUCCAGUACAGAUAUUCCUGCAUGGUGACAAGUUUAAGAUGUUUUUCCAGAAAUUCUACAUGGUCUUCAUAAACUCCAUCUGGACCGCCAAUGACGUUUAUUAAUGUAUAUGGUCAUUUGGAGAUCACUUCACUAGGAAUGGGAAGAUCAUUGAGAACUGCCAGGAUGUUUUCCACUGCUUCUUCUGUCAUCAUGUGCAGGGCUUGGUCUGUAGCAGUGCCAAUGUGGGGUGUUAUGAUGACGUUUUUCAUCUGCAAUAGCAAGUGAUCUCUGCAGAGAAAGCAAGGCAGGAUAAUUUAGAGUCACCUAGCCAGGGCAAAUUGGAAUUGGAAAGCAACUGCUUCAAGACGGAAACCAACCAAAAGGGUACUAGCUUCUGCUGCCCAGUUUCUGCUAGGGAAAGCUUUCUGUGGAGUAGUAUCCAUACUAUCCAAGAGGCACAACCUGCAAACAGCCAUUACUUGCUGCUUUGCUGUUUCAAUCGCUCUUCCUCUAGAAUUACUCCUGCUAUUUCAAAGAGAAAAGGAAUCAAUCUCACAAAUGUCUGCAUUGGGAUGAUUGAAGAAUGAAAUGUUAGAAGCAACUGUGAUCUUUUUUUAAAGACCAAACCUCUAAAUUGCAUUUUGUGUACGCCAAAUAGACACCUUCUCAAAACUUAGAUUAUUUAUUACACUUUUAUCCCACUCUUUCUUUGAUAGCUCAAGGCAAACCUGGGUGUAUCAUCUCACAUGAUAUUAUCCACAUGACAAAAACCCUAUGAAAUUAGUUGAGUUGGGAAAGUAACGGGUCAAAAGUCAUCUACUUGGGUCAGUCAUUAAAUGGGAACCUAUACUCAGACUUCUUCAGUUCAUUUCUAAUAUUUCCAGCACCACACUACCUAAACUAAAAGUAAAAGGGUGGCAUAAAUUUAAA